UACGAAGGGGGCUAGCGUUGCUCGGAAUCACUGGGCGUAAAGCGCACGUAGGCGGAUCUUUAAGUCAGGGGUGAAAUCCUGGAGCUCAACUCCAGAACUGCCUUUGAUACUGGGGAUCUCGAGUCCGGGAGAGGUGAGUGGAACUCCGAGUGUAGAGGUGAAAUUCGUAGAUAUUCGGAAGAACACCAGUGGCGAAGGCGGCUCACUGGCCCGGUACUGACGCUGAGGCGCGAAAGCGUGGGGAGCGAACAGG
rnacentral:rRNA from 1 species